rnacentral:lncRNA from 1 species
AUGCUGCUUGGAGCUUCAUCCUGUGGGUGGCACGUGGCCACUCCACCCACAACCCAUGGAUCAACACAUGGCCAUGUACCAAAAUCAAUGCACUGGGAUGUGCACUCACCUGUAGUGGAGACCCUGCAAGGUCAUGGAGCAAAGUGCCUGGAAGAUCCCCCUGUCAUGGGGAGGAGUCAAGCACUGGGAAACACAGCAGCUGUCUCUCCUCAGGAUUCAGCCUUCUCCCCAAAACUUUCUGCCACAACCGCAGGAUUGUCAGAUUCACACCCCCAGACCUACCAGGUUGCAGAAUUUAAGUCUAGGUAUACUUGAGGUUUUAACUGCUUUUGCAUUUCCAACUUUUUGUUUCCUAUAGCUUGUUCUAUUCACCAGUUUCUGGUGGCUUCUUGGGGGAGUCUGUGCAUCAGCACUAGGGAGUUGUCAGUGACCCUCAUAGGGAUUCAUCAGAAGUUUAAUUAAUUAUUCAGUCCACUAACCUCCACCUCUUGCCAUUUCAAAAUCUAGCACCUAAACCCACCAUGCUCAACCAUCCAAGUUGCAAUGUUUUAUUCUCAUCUGAUGUCCCCCCAUGGACCUACAUUUUCCUUUUCUGCUCUAAUCCACUCCCUGUUGCACUGUCUGUUUCUGAGACCAUAACAUUACUUCUUCUCUCUCCCAGUGUGUGUGUGUGUGUGUGUGUGUGUGUGUUUUUAAUCAGCAAAAUAGUGUUGCACUCUGUGUAGGGAGAUAAAGUUGCUUGGAGUCCGUGGGGCAGGCAUGCAGGUGUAUGGAGGGUGGGAAGGGGUUGUCACAGGAUUAUAAGGGAAAUGGUGAUACUUAAAUUAAGCCAUAGAUUUGGAUAAGAUCUCCAGGAGAAAUGUGAAGAUUGACAUAUUUCAAUCCUGUUCCCUCUUGAUAACAACAGUAACAAAAUGCACACUCCCCCUUAAUGGUUAACAUUUAAUGAGGUCACUUUCGAUGACCCUAGUGUAUCACUUUACUUAUCAGUGAUAGACACUGAGAUCAAAGGCAAACCACAAUCAGUGUCUUGAAAGCAGCAGAUGAAAGUUUUCAAAGAGUAUGACGAUGAUAAAAAUCGGAGGUCCAACAAGAAUAUAAAUAAAAAGCAUGGACUGAAUUUGGCCA